UUGAGAGACCUAAUAGCUUGAUUUCCUCCACUAACCCAAUUAAACUACUUAUUAGCAUCGCUUUCCACAUUGGUUUGGCAUUCAAAUACCAUUAGCAUAUAUAAUUCUCAUACGAUUUCAGUUACAAACCUUCUGCAUGAAGACAUUUAACAAAUAUACCCCAUCAACCUCUUUUGAUUAUCCCAUUCAUCUUCACAUUCUCUACCCGUGACCGGCAAUAAAAUUAGUUUCCAGGUCCAUCAAUUAGAUCGUAUCAUUUCUUCCAAGUCAAAUUCGUGAUUAAGAGUAGGCCUCCGUUCGCCAUCGAAUUGUGUUGAUUUUUGAGAGUUGGAUCACGUCACAUGAUUCUUCGUUUUCAACGGUCCAAUCGUCAAAAUAAUUCCUGGAGUGACAGAAAAUGUGUCUGUACCGUAGCUGUGAGUUUGAGGUUUGAGGUAGUUUAGUGUUUGGCUAGGAAGAAAAGCUUACGAGGUACCAAAGAAGAGAUGAUCUAUGCUUUGAAGUUUUUGCUUGAAGUGCGUACGGGGGACGAAAUUGAGUUUUUGAUUGAAUUGUAACUUUAGUAGAAAUUUUUGAAGGAUAUUAGUUUAAGAGUUUUAAUUACAUUAUGUUAAGAAUUUUGUAUAGGUUUGGCUAGAAUAUAUUAUUGAUGAAAUAAAUAAAUAGCAGUGUUUUUUUAGAAAAGGAAAAUGAUUUAGGAGUAAUGUCUUGGACCAAAAUCCGGGGCGUUACAUACUCUCUUCUAUA